UUUAACAAAUAAUGUGCGCGUCGUUUACGGACGACGUGCGCACGUUGAUGAGCUUUUCCGAAAAAACCAGGUUUUUUUGGUGGCGCAUAAUGAACAGCGUGGGCUUUUUCUUCGAUUCUCGUGUAGUAAAUCUUCAACGCUUGGGUUGAGAAAAAGUGCGUGCCGCGCAAUGGGUGUGGCGAAUUUUACCCCUGCCCCAAUGCCACUCUUUCCCUGCGAAAGAACAAUCUUUUAU
rnacentral:misc_RNA from 1 species